GUGAAGUGACCUGUUAAAUCAGGUAACAGGCGAGACCCGUGUGCAUAAUUACUACCGAAAGGAGUACAUUAUGCAGACUGCCUUGGUAACAAGGAGGAAGGUGCGGGCUACGUUAGGUGAGUACAUCCCUAAUCCCCUGGGCUACACGCGCGCGGCAAUGCUGCAUUCAAAGGGCUGCGACACCGAAAGGUGAAGCUAAUCUCAUAAACUGCAGCUUAGUUCAGAUUGAGGGUUGCAACUCACCCUCAUGACGCUGGAAUUCGUAGUAAUCGGGUUUUAUCAGCGCACGGUGAAUAUGUCAAUGUCCCUUGCACUCACCGCCCGUCAAACCAACCGAGUUUAGCUUUGGUGAGGCCCGUCAGGGACGAGCCUUGGUUCGACAAGGUAGGUUAAGUCGUCACAAGGUAUCCGUAGGGGAACCUGCGGAUGGAUCACCUCCU
rnacentral:rRNA from 1 species